GAUGAACGCUGGCGGCGUGCCUAAUACAUGCAAGUCGAGCGAACAGACGAGGAGCUUGCUCCUCUGACGUUAGCGGCGGACGGGUGAGUAACACGUGGAUAACCUACCUAUAAGACUGGGAUAACUUCGGGAAACCGGAGCUAAUACCGGAUAAUAUAUUGAACCGCAUGGUUCAAAAGUGAAAGACGGUUUUGCUGUCACUUAUAGAUGGAUCCGCGCCGCAUUAGCUAGUUGGUAAGGUAACGGCUUACCAAGGCAACGAUGCGUAGCCGACCUGAGAGGGUGAUCGGCCACACUGGAACUGAGACACGGUCCAGACUCCUACGGGAGGCAGCAGUAGGGAAUCUUCCGCAAUGGGCGAAAGCCUGACGGAGCAACGCUGCGUGAGUGAUGAAGGUCUUCGGAUCGUAAAACUCUGUUAUUAGGGAAGAACAAAUGUGUAAGUAACUAUGCACGUCUUGACGGUACCUAAUCAGAAAGCCACGGCUAACUACGUG
rnacentral:rRNA from 1 species